UACGUAGGGUGCAAGCGUUGUCCGGAAUUAUUGGGCGUAAAGAGCUCGUAGGCGGUCUGUCGCGUCGGCUGUGAAAACCCGGGGCUCAACCCCGGGCCUGCAGUCGAUACGGGCAGACUAGAGUCCGGAAGAGGAGAGUGGAAUUCCUGGUGUAGCGGUGAAAUGCGCAGAUAUGAGGAAGAACACCCGUGGCUAAGGCGGCUCUCUAGUACGGUACUGACGCUGAGACGCGAAAGCGUGGGGAGCGAACAGG
rnacentral:rRNA from 1 species